UACGUAGGGUGCGAGCGUUGUCCGGAAUUAUUGGGCGUAAAGGGCUCGUAGGCGGUUUGCCGCGUCGGGAGUGAAAUCCACUGGCUUAACUGGUGGCUUGCUUUCGAUACGGGCAGACUGGAGGUAUGCAGGGGAGAGCGGAAUUCCUGGUGUAGCGGUGAAAUGCGCAGAUAUCAGGAGGAACACCGGUGGCGAAGGCGGUUCUCUGGGCCGAUACUGACGCUGAGGAGCGAAAGCAUGGGGAGCGAACAGG
rnacentral:rRNA from 1 species